GCGUCCUCAGCGACGGACC
rnacentral:snRNA from 1 species